UGCAGUCGAGCGGUAGCACAGAGAGCUUGCUCUCGGGUGACGAGCGGCGGACGGGUGAGUAAUGUCUGGGAAACUGCCUGAUGGAGGGGGAUAACUACUGGAAACGGUAGCUAAUACCGCAUAAUGUCGCAAGACCAAAGUGGGGGACCUUCGGGCCUCAUGCCAUCAGAUGUGCCCAGAUGGGAUUAGCUAGUAGGUGGGGUAAUGGCUCACCUAGGCGACGAUCCCUAGCUGGUCUGAGAGGAUGACCAGCCACACUGGAACUGAGACACGGUCCAGACUCCUACGGGAGGCAGCAGUGGGGAAUAUUGCACAAUGGGCGCAAGCCUGAUGCAGCCAUGCCGCGUGUGUGAAGAAGGCCUUCGGGUUGUAAAGCACUUUCAGCGGGGAGGAAGGCGNUNAGGUUAAUAACCUUGGCGAUUGACGUUACCCGCAGAAGAAGCACCGGCUAACUCCGUGCCAGCAGCCGCGGUAAUACGGAGGGUGCAAGCGUUAAUCGGAAUUACUGGGCGUAAAGCGCACGCAGGCGGUCUGUCAAGUCGGAUGUGAAAUCCCCGGGCUCAACCUGGGAACUGCAUUCGAAACUGGCAGGCUAGAGUCUUGUAGAGGGGGGUAGAAUUCCAGGUGUAGCGGUGAAAUGCGUAGAGAUCUGGAGGAAUACCGGUGGCGAAGGCGGCCCCCUGGACAAAGACUGACGCUCAGGUGCGAAAGCGUGGGGAGCAAACAGGAUUAGAUACCCUGGUAGUCCACGCCGUAAACGAUGUCGAUUUGGAGGUUGUGCCCUUGAGGCGUGGCUUCCGGAGCUAACGCGUUAAAUCGACCGCCUGGGGAGUACGGCCGCAAGGUUAAAACUCAAAUGAAUUGACGGGGGCCCGCACAAGCGGUGGAGCAUGUGGUUUAAUUCGAUGCAACGCGAAGAACCUUACCUGGUCUUGACAUCCACAGAACUUUCCAGAGAUGGAUUGGUGCCUUCGGGAACUGUGAGACAGGUGCUGCAUGGCUGUCGUCAGCUCGUGUUGUGAAAUGUUGGGUUAAGUCCCGCAACGAGCGCAACCCUUAUCCUUUGUUGCCAGCGGUCCGGCCGGGAACUCAAAGGAGACUGCCAGUGAUAAACUGGAGGAAGGUGGGGAUGACGUCAAGUCAUCAUGGCCCUUACGACCAGGGCUACACACGUGCUACAAUGGCAUAUACAAAGAGAAGCGACCUCGCGAGAGCAAGCGGACCUCAUAAAGUAUGUCGUAGUCCGGAUUGGAGUCUGCAACUCGACUCCAUGAAGUCGGAAUCGCUAGUAAUCGUAGAUCAGAAUGCUACGGUGAAUACGUUCCCGGGCCUUGUACACACCGCCCGUCACACCAUGGGAGUGGGUUGCAAA
rnacentral:rRNA from 1 species